rnacentral:snRNA from 1 species
AUGUUAAAAAUCAUAAAGCACAUACACUGAAAUAGGAAUGAUACAGAUUAGCACAGCCCCUGCACAAGGAUGGCACACAAACUCAUAAAGCUUCCUAUAUUUUU